ACCCCUCUUCGUGCUAUUAACUCUGUCUAAAACUCAACCCCUCGAAAAGACUGUCUAGAACUCUAUUCACUCUCUCAGCAACCAAAGUCUCAACUGAGAUUGCGAUCUCAAUCUCAGCCAUCUCAAUCUUUCAAACUUAAAAAUACUUACCCAAACCUAGUCUCUCCUUCAACCCCGAGAAUCCUUUCCAUUCGCGUCCGGCUUAAUAGAGUUUUUCAACAACCACUCAAGAGAUUAGAGGAAGCUUGACUAUUCUGUUUUCGAUCGGGUUAGUGGCCAGCCGGUAAGCAUUUUGCUUCAUUAGUUUAGGGCUUCAAUUGGGUCCAAUCUUCGAUUUUAGGGUUUCGAUUGGAUUCAGUCUUCAAUUUUAGGGUUUUGAUUGGGUUCAAUCUUCUAUUUGAGGGUUUUUCUGGAACUUGAUUUGGGUUUUCCUAAAAUUUUCCUUGUAAAUUCGUUUUAGUUGUUAGGUCUUUCUUCAAUUUGUGUUGGGGAUAUUGAAAUAGAUUAAGGUGUUCUGGUUCUGUCUUGUUAGUAAAAUUUGUUGUUUUUGAAUUUAUGGAUUUGUUGCCCUGAUUUAUGAAUUUAGGGAUUCAGACUUGUGCUGUUGCUUCUUAUAGCAUUGCUGUUGGAGGUGAGAAAAGCUUGAAGCUUUAUUGUGAAUUUUGCUGUGUAAGGUUUUAGUUUUCGUAGUAUUUUGUACUGAUAUGUGACAUUAUAAGAGAGUUUGGGUCUUACUUGUUGCUUUGUUGGUCUCUUAGCUUUGGUUCCUCUCAGAAAGGUACGUUAUUAAAUUGUUUGUUACUUUAUGGCUUAAUUGGUGAUUGAUAAGCUUAUUUUUGUGAUUCUAUAACUAUUGGGGCUUAAUUGGUUAUGGGUGUAAUUCUAGGUUAUUCAAUGGGAUUUCUUGUUUGGGCAUAUUAGCUUUAGAUUGGUAUAUUGACUAUAUUCUACAAGCUGUUGGUGCAACUGUAUAUCAUUUGCAAACAGAUUAAUAAAAGAGGCGAUACAGUGGAUGAGAAGAUCAAGAAGCUUGAUUUUGAACUUAAUAGAUACAAAGAGCAUAUCAAGAAGACAAGGCCUGACGCUGCACAUGAAGCUAAUAAGGCGAGAGCGAUGAGGGUUCUCAAGCAAAAAUGAAUGUCAGUGCUCCCUCCUAGUUUAAUUCAUAUUCUUUUACAUAAACUGAUGUCAAUUGUGAUUUCAUCGAUGCGACGACAACAUGUGGGAUAAUUUCAAAAUCGAUAACUGAAUUUGGAUAUUUUGGAUAGUCGAUUGUGCCUUUUCUCAUACAUGGGUUGAUAAUGGCUUGAAUCUAGGGUCUGCUGUAACUUGGCCACCAUGUUGAAACUAUAUCUUGCUUUAGUUUUUCCUUCUCCAGUGUGUUAUACACAUGACAGCCUAGUAGUAUUCUGUUCUCUAUUUUUAAAACUUAUUUCAACUGCAUUGUUAUACAAAUAAAUUUUUCAUAAAUCCUCAAAGCCAAACUGUUCCUGCCUAAAUGUUACACUUUAAGUUGUGUCAAAUUUAGUCUUUUUCUGAAUUUCUCUUGCUUGAGAACCCCUUAAGUCACACACCCGGGUUUGGGGUGUGACACAGAGUUCGUUUGUCAAGCUGAAAUCUUACUGAGUUUCCCUUGAUACGAUGUUCCUUUGGAAUCUUAAUUCCUUCUGAUGGUAAAUAUAUGAAUGCAUGUUUAGCAACUUGUUCAAGGCAACAAGUAUCCUUGUCUUGGAUGUUUUAAUCUUGACACAAACCUAGCCUUUGACUAUCAUUGUUGGAAUUAUUUGAAGUGUGUACAGCAAAUACGUUUCUUUCCUUUUCAAAAUCUCUUCUUAUCAGUUUAAUUGCAGCAAUGAAUCUUUAGAUUUUGAUAUAUCAUCUAAGUGUCCUAUUGAAUAUCUGAUCUAUUUCUACCUUGUUUCAAAAUAGUAUGGCUGCACUUGAGUCUAUUUCUUAUCCCAUUCUUGCUGUCCAUUCGUAUUCAUAGCUCAUUCAUACAAAGUUCUUCAUAUUAGUGCCUUUAUCCAUUUGUAUUCAUACACUUGUGGUCUGUGAUAUUGAAAACAAAUAGCUGCUUUUUGUUAUGUUUUCUACAAGUGAAAACAAAGCUUCUUAAUUGUGAACUUUACCUGAUACAAUAAUUCAAUGCUUUGCAUAUUCUUACUGUUCUGUUUUUCAUAAGGGAAUGGAUAUAUGACAUAACAAGGUUUCUUGCUUUCAAAUAUUUUACUUAUUUGUUUUAUUCACGGUGCCAAACUACCCUAUUCGAAUUAAUUUCAAACUAGCCUUCUUUGGUAUUUCUUUUUCCUGACUUAUUGACCUUCAAAUGAUCUGAAUUUUUGAUAUGUUUUACGUCUCUUAGUUAAUAAACGAUCUGGAAAUUUUCAUCGGAUUUCGACAUAAAGUGAACGUUAUGUGAAUUUUUCAAAUUUGGUCUGUAAUUGAGAAAGUUCCAGAAUUUUAAAUGUUCCUCUGAUUUUCUGUUGAGAUAUGAACUUCUAUUUGAAUUAUUUAACUUCUGGUUUUUCUGUAUAUUGAACUAGACAUCCCAAUGUUUGUUUCAAAACUGAUUCCUUAUCAUUUGGACUUGCAAUGAAUUUUUGUUGAAUUGUUCAAAGUAGACCUACUGGAAGAAGGAUCUUUUGAUUCCUUAGUUGAUGGUAGUGUAGCUGUUUUUCAUACAGCAUCCCCAUUUUAUCACAAUCCCAGUGAUUCACAUCAUUGGGACGUCCUCUUCAUAAUGCUAUUGUUUGGAUGGUUGGUAGUUGGUACAGCUCUAUUUACAGGUAUUAUUUUUUACUUUGACAAUAGAAUCUGAUUUGGAUUUUGAUUGUUGUCAUGAUAUACUGGUUUAAUGCCUAUGGGAAACUUCCUAGCUCCUUGUUGGAAAGAGAAGGCGGUAGAGAUUUAACUCAUGAACAUAUGUUUUGUUGGUAAUUAAUGAAUUGCUUGAUUCAUUUCAGCUUGAUAAGAGCAAAUAAAGAAGGAAACUGAUAUACAAGGAACAAUGCAAUAUCAGCUUAAUAAGCAUCAGGACACGAGGAGCCAUUAGAGCAAAAAAAGAAAACCACCAUAAUACAUUUAUAUGCUAUUAACUUCUGAACAGUCAUAUGAGUCAUACUUACAUUUAUUAUGUUUCAUGUCUAACUUUUGAAUCAUUUACUUUAUACAGUGCAAGUGUGUUUGGUAUCUCAGCGGAGUCAAUGAAGUUGUCUUCUGUUUGAUAAGGACCAACUAAAGUUUCAGAUGGAGAAGGCCGAGAAGGAUAGAUGUAAAGUUCGGGCCGAAUGGGAAAAGUAUGUUUCUCCAGCUUCAAGAUAACUAGUGUAGAGAUGUGCUUUUGGACAUGCAUCAUCCACAACCCAGAUUAGUAUUAUUGCUCUAGAUAAUAGGUUUCUGCCUUAGGAUUAGUAUAGUUAUGGAUGUAUGUACUUUGGCUGCAAUGACAGAUUGAAUAUUGGCAUUUUUGUGCUUGGAUUCCAAAUUUGAUGAAUAUAUGGUAUUUUUUAGUUUUCAGAUUA